rnacentral:lncRNA from 1 species
GUUUUGGAGUGUCUGGGAUUGGCAGACCAGCUGUUCAUGUGAAAUGUAAUUGGUGCCACAGAUCUGGAUGAGCAAUGAAUCAAGUCCAGGGAGUUAGGGCAGCAAAGGAUCAUGAGCAAGUCUCCAAUGGUGAAGAUCAACCCCGGUCAUGUAAAAAUAACUGCCACCUCUGGAGGAACUGAGUAAUGUUGCCAAAGAAUAAGAGUCACUCUAACGUCAAAAGGAGGACAGCAGGCAGUUGGGUAAGUGUGGCUAAUUCUGUACUAGGAUUGCUGAA